rnacentral:misc_RNA from 1 species
CCAAUAGCGUAUAUUAAAGUUGUUGCAGUUAAAAAGCUCGUAGUUGAAUUUCGGGGUUAGUAGGUUGGUCAUGCCUCUGGUAUGUACUGGUCUCACUGAUUCCUCCUUCCUGAUGAGCCGUAAUGCCAUUAAUUUGGUGUUGCGGGGAAUUUGGACUGUUACUUUGAAAAAAUUAGAGUGUUUAAAGCAAGCUAACGCUUGAAUACAUUAGCAUGGAAUAAUGAAAUAGGACGUUCGAUCCUAUUUUGUUGGUUUCUAGGAUUGACGUAAUGAUUAAUAGGGAUAGUUGGGGGCAUUAGUAUUCAAUUGUCAGAGGUGAAAUUCUUGGAUUUAUUGAAGACUAACUACUGCGAAAGCAUUUGCCAAGGAUGUUUUCAUUAAUCAAGAACGAAAGUUAGGGGAUCGAAGACGAUCAGAUACCGUCGUAGUCUUAACCAUAAACUAUGCCGACUAGGGAUCGGAUGAUGUUAAUUUUUUAAUGACUCAUUCGGCGCCUUACA